rnacentral:rRNA from 1 species
ACUCUCGGCAACGGAUA